rnacentral:lncRNA from 1 species
UCUACUAUAAGGACUCACCAAUUGGAGGUAAUAUUCCUAUAGGGACACAAAAAUUCUCUAUAAGUCUCUUAAUGAGUUCUUCUAUUUGGUGGUCGGAGUCUCUAAAUAGGGACACCCAUUGGAGAUGCUCUAAAAAGAUUAGCAAUUCUUACUUGUUGAACAUCUAUCUCUCGCCUAUGAAUAGAACUUUCAUCAACAAUCUAUUCAUGUGCAGGCGGAAGUAGCUCAUCAUCAUCAUAAGGUUGUAAAUCUUGAUCGUCAUGAAAUGAUUCCAAAUAAAAUUGUGUAAAGUCAUUGAAGGAACAACAGUUUGUACCUGUUUUUCAAAAGCGAAGCUACGCGUGUGAAGAAUCAUUGUCAAUCUAUUUUUCCAAACACCAAAAGUUCUUUCAAAUUGUGCAUCUUAGGGAUGAAUGCCUAUGAUAAAUAUCUAUUUUUUACUUCUUGGCUGACUUCCAUGUCAAAAUUCAAGAACAUGAGUUUCUGCUCCUCUUCUUCUCCACCAACCUCUCCUCAAAAGCCUCAAGGAUUUCAUGGAUCAGCUGCCGGUUUGGCGAAAUGUCCCACCGUGCCCAAAAACUCAUGUAGCUCCGGAAGCAGUCGCACUGGAACGUAAGAGGGUGGUCCACCCAAAACUAUUUCAAACCAGAUUUGAUCCAAGAUGCUAGAAGACAUUACUAGCAACAAAUUACAACAAAACCAAGAUAAUUUUACCUCUUUUUUUCAAGGGUUGUAGCUUGAUUCCAUUAGAGCAACUCUCACCGAGAACCCCUGCUUGGAUUAUCCUACUUCCCAUUACAAAAUUUAACAUGCAAUGGUACCAUAGUUAUCCCCAGCUUGCGCAUGUCUUGUAUUUUGGUGGUUUGGGGUCUCAAUUAAAUUGGAAUUUGUUGUGAUGGUGCUUGGAGUUCUUUUUGGCUAUGGUGGUUUAGAGAGAAGGCAGAGAGUUCGAAAAGAGAGAGAGUUCUGGAGUGUUCACAGGAGAAAAGGAAAAGAACAAAGAAAAGGGGAAGAAAACAGAGUGGGCCAGGUUACAAACACAACACAGUGGUGCAUUACCGUUAAGUUUCAUAAAUAGUGUAGUAAGUUUCAUAAACAGUGUCAUAAGUUUUCAUAAACAGUGUAAAAGUUUCAUAAACAGUGUGAGGACAUGAGUCCGCGUGUCAAAUUUUUUUUUAAAUUUUUUAAAUAUUCAAAUUAUGUCAUUUUCAUUAAAAUUUAAGUUCUUUUGUCCCUUUUAUUAAAAUUUAAGGGUUUUUCAUUAAAAUUUAAGUCUUUUUAAUUAAAUAAAGUUAUAGCAUGAUUUUAUAUUAAAAUAAACUUAGUCUAAACCCCUUUCAUGAAAGUUCCCUAAUUAUAAUCAACUCCCAAUCCGGAAAGGAAAAGGAUUCCUAGACAAAUAAGGAAAUCUGGUCCGCCACGUCCUAUUCGAUUUGGGUUUUCUUAAUUUAACCCUAAUUCAACUCACUAUGAAUGCCUGACCCAAACAAAAAAAAUAAAUAAAAAAAUACUCACUCAGAGUCUCUAUAUAUUCCUCCACCCUCGUAAGUUCACACCUCAAAUUGUCGAGUUCUCUUACGUGCCCCGACAACAUGAAGCUCAGCGAGAACUUGAGGCUUAGGCUUUUCAACAGGGCUUUCGACUCCUCAAAAUGCGACAAAACAAUAGUGUUGGUGGUGGAUAGGAUACGCAAGUUAAGGAAGAGGAAAGAGGAGGACAUUGUGAAGAUGAGGAACAAAAUUUCUGCUCUCUUGCAGUGUGGUCAAGAGCCAAUUAAUAAAACUUGCACUGCUCGUAUUUUGAUCGAAGAUCUGAUAAGAGAAGAAAACAUUUUGGAGGCGUACGUGUUGAUCAAGGGUUUUUGUAACUUAGUUAGGGGUAGGCUCUUAGUUAUUCAAGUGCAGAGGGAAUGCCCCGAAAAUUUAAAACAAGCGAUUAGUAGUUUAAUUUUUGCAGCUAAAAAAUGCUUCCACGAGAUUCCAGAAUUAUUGACACUUGAGAAAUUUUUUAAGAUGAAGUAUGGAAGUGAUUUUGUGCAUGCGGCUACUCAAACCAACUGUGUUACUCCCGUGAUGGUUGAGAAGCUCUCAAAUAGAAACUCUACAGACGAAGAAAUAGAGAAGAUUAUUCAGCAAAUAGCCAAGCCAUGCAAUAUAAAUGGAGAACAACAAGCGUGGAACUGUCAUCCCACAGCACCAUACUUAUAUGAUGGAGUUGCGUACAAUGCUUUUCUCAAUUAUAAGUGAAGAAAUUGUAGUAUCCAAAUUGGAGUAGUUUACUCUUUGAAAAAGAAAUUGGCUGUUUACUAUAAUGUAGCAAGGAAUGAUGUAUGACAAGAGUGCUUAUUACUUUUUUUUAUUUUUAUUUUUAUUUUUAAGUUUUAGUUUAGAGUAAUGUUAUUCUUACCAUCUAAAUAUUUUUCAUAUCACCUUAUACAGAAAUUGAAGUGGACUAACACAUCAAUUUAAAAAAGAUCUUGUACCAGCAGAGGUGAAUAAUCACAUUAAUUAAAAGAAUGAUCUUUUUUUUUUUUUUUGAAAAAAAGGGGGGGCAAUUGGUGGCAAACCAUGGUUAUCCAUCCAUUUAGGGGAACGAGAAGACUCACUGAGGCAUUUCAGCCUUUUUUUUUAUUUUUUAUUUUAAGAAAUUGAUGAAACCUUAAUGUUCACGUUUUCUAGGCUCAUAGUUGCCUCCUUCUUCCUCUCAUCUCUCCAUCAUCAUUUUGCUUUUCCAACGAUUGAUGGUACCCCUCCACCUUUGCCGACAACUGAUCAAACCUCCACAAUCACAAGUGAGGGGCUUAGAGUAAGAAGACAGUUCAUCCCAAAGAUCUUUGAGUUUGGUGUAGUAUGUGAAGAUUGACCGCUGUCCCUGGCAGCAUUAGCCAAUUUCUUGUUGAAUCUGAUAAGUCCUUGAAUUAUUGCCUUGUAAGAAUCGAUCCUCAAGAUCCUUCUGUUUGCCCCCUAAAUUCACCAUGGACCUCACGGACAUUUUAGAAAUUUACUCGAACAAUAAACUAGUGGGUGCGAGCGUGCCAUUACAAGAUGCCGCUAGUAGACGGGAUUUGAAUGAUUGAGAUUGCGCCUGACUACGGCUUCUAACCAAGAGAUUGUGCCAUUGAGUGGGAGUGGCUCAAAUCAAGGUUCUUUCUUUGCCAUAAAGAUAAGGACUUCACUUAUGUGGAGAAAUGUAACAACAUGUAAAUGGCAGGUUUGCUAGAAGUGUAAAUGACUGGUAUUAUAGAUUGCUUGUAAAUUAAAUGACUAGAAAUGAGUUGUGCAUAAAUGUAAUUAUUUAAAGUACAAAACAUUAUAAGUACAAAGGGAUGCCAAAUACAAGGUUCAAGCUUGUUCCCAAGGGAUCAGGCAAGUUGCUCUAGUCUUGUGGCAAUUUCUAGUGGUUUGGGGAAUGGGUUUGAAGGUUGUAAAUAAAAAUACAAAGGAGAUCUAUACUACCGAGUGAGCAGCAAAGCAAUAAACCAGGAAAGUAAAGGGUGCUUGGCUAAAAGUAAAUGUUUACAAGGAUAUUAUAAAAGAGGCCAACUCAGUUUUCCACCACAUGUGUAUUAAUUCUACUUGCAACAGAUUAAUAUUUAAAAAAAGCAAGUUGGCUUCUUUCCUGCACAUGUCCAUCUCCAAGCCUGCCAACGUCCUUACUCACAAUAAAGCCAUCGAUUUAAAUCAUGUGGAGAAACAUUCUCACAUGCAACUUUUGGUAUAUUUGAAACUAGUCCCCCCAAAAUGUCAUAUUUUGGCUUUUAAACCCAAUUAAGUAAAAUUGUGCAUAUUUUAGGUGCAAACAUCUUCCACACAAUAGUCGAGGUUUGCAAUAAAGUAUACUGCCAACAAUAGUACUGUGCACUGAUUGCAAGGUCCACAAGAGUACCAUGUCGUUGCAUCUCUGCCAAAUGGGAAAUUUUGCAUUGGACAUGGAUCCUUUACGGAUCCAUUGGUCCUAAUCUACCAAGUCAUAUCAUCCGGGUCAUUGAAAUUUGAUCCAACGGUUAAAGUUAUUAUAACUUUUAGAAUGGGCCCCUUUUUGUAGCCAUUGGAUAAAAUUUCAGUAACCCAAAUGAUUUAACUUGGUAGAUUAGGACCAAUGGAUCCGGAGAGGAUCCAUGUCCUUUUGCAUUGGUGGUUGCCGGAGCUUUAAUUAAUAGACCCAUCAAUAGACUCGAGCUCAUUCUUUGCACUUAGAGGAAUGCGCAUAGAAUGGCACCAUUAUCAAUAGUUGUGUCAUUUGAGGAGUUUUGAACUAGAACAAGAUUCGAUGAAUCCGAUUGAUGUAAGGUGAGAGGAUCAGGUGUGUUUUGCACAGCCUCUGUUAGCUAUGUUUGUAGUAAAGGUUGGUUGUGUUUGUAGCGGAAGAUGAAUGGGUGUCUAGAGUCACCAGGAUCGUGUUGAUCUGAUGCCAUAUAAAUUGAUGUGUGAAUAUUUUUGUACUGGAUAAUUGUAACUGUACAGAGACAAUCCUUUCCUACAAUCACUCCAAGACGGAUCAUGACUAUUUAAUCCUACAAUUACUCCAUAUCAUAUCAUAAUCAGAUCGCUCACUAGUUUGCUUCCUUUAACAGACGCAACUAUUGUAUCUUCAUGCACAACCUUUAUAGUUAACCCCUUUCACAUCUAUAUAAAAGGCAAGUCUCAUUUAGGCAUUCAACUUAUUUAUCAAUUUCAUUUAUAGCAUUAACAAGUGUUUAGUAUAUUUAGACUAAAGGUUAAGCGAGUCUAUAAAGGAGUGAAACAUUGUGUUUCAGUAAGGCCUGCUACUCAUACCAUAAGAGAAUGUUUGGAGAGAGAGAGAGAGAGAGAGUGAGAGAGAGAGAUGUUGAAGAAACGAAGAAACACUGACUUGUAUGACAUCAGUUGAGAGUUACAACGCACCUCACUUUUUCUAUAUCAACUACAUAGCACAUUAAACUUGAAAGCUAACUAACUCUAGCUAUAAGAAACUAACUUUUCCUCUAACAACCUGUUAUUCAUCUUAACUUAUCAUCCCACAGGAUUAUGACCCAUGGCACCUCACAGAAUGAUGACACUUGUCGCUUAAUACCCCUCAAUCUCAGCAAAGAAUUUCAGCCUGAGAUUCAGACAUUACUGCAAAAAUAAUGGAAAGUGAAAUUAAAUGAUCAAAUCUCCUUUUUGCACUCAUUUCUCAAACAAAAUGGUAAUUUGUGUCCAAAUGUUUAAUUCUUAUCUGAAACCAAUGGUGGAUCUAGGAAAUAAUAUUAGGGGGGCUAGUAAGAAUAGCACACAUAGCUCGGAAAUUGUUUUAACCAGAAAUAUCAUGUAUAUCGCCAUUUCAUUAUAUCUUGGUAGGCUUGAAGUCAUUUGAAAAUGCAUACUACACACAUGUUAAUGUACGCAAGGGGUAGCACCCAAGGUAUUUAUGGACAUUCAUCGGGUUUUGGUAGGCCUUAAGUCGGUUAGAGGGCAUGUAUGAAGCCAACUCUAAUCUUCAAAAGGGCAGCACUCAAGGUAUCUAUGGACAUUCACCGAAAUGCAGAGGGUCAGUACCUAAGGUAUCUAUGGCUGGUCAUCGAAGUUCCGGGGGCCAGCUGACCCCCCUUACCCCUUAAUGGAUCCUUCAUUGUCUGAAACAAUGGAUUAAUAUGAGCGGAGAGCAAAUAUCAUAGUCUAGAUUUGGUGUUGAAGACAAAUAUACCUAAAAUUCUUUCAAACUUAAUCGUAUCGUAUCCAAGCAACAUAUGCAGUUAUAUUUCCAAGUUCCUUAUACUCUGCCUCCACUGAAGUUCGAGACACACAAUUUUUUCUUCAAUUUCCAUGAAAUGGGUAUCGCCAUUAUUGUAUUAACUUUGGUAGUCCUAUUUGCAUCACUAUAAGCUAACUCCAAAUUAAUAACUAAAACAUGAAAGGCCACAAUUUAUAAAUUUCCUUGUAGAUAACAUAGAAUCCUUUUAACCUGAUAAAAAUGAGCAUCGAUUGGAGUAGACAUGAACUAUAACAAGCAUAGUUCACAGCAUAUAGGCUAUAUCAUGUCUAGUGAAAGUUUACUGCAAAGCUCAUACUAAAAUCCUAUACAAAGUGCAAGACAAAACUUACAAUGUCAUUCCAGCCUUUUGAAGCACAUCUCUGCAUACUUAGAUUGAGAAAUAAAAACAUCCCAGAAAUAAAAACAUCCCAUUACCCUCAUAGGUGACUUGUAAUCCUUACAAAUUAUAUAAAUUAAUUAAAGGAAAACUAAUCAAAAGAGCUUCAAAUCUUUGCAUUUUAAUCCAAAACCAUUCACUAACUUUAUUUCAUGAUAAGGACAAAAAAAUAAAAAAUAAAAAAUAAACAUAAAAAAAUCCAAGUCGCGCGUCCCUCACCCCUCAAACAAAACCCCCCCCAAAACUCCCAUCAAACCACUUCACCAUCCCCCACCCCAUCAAACCCUAGACAGAUCAAGAAGAGAUCCUGACCCAACCCCAACUCCAGUUAUUGUCACCCCAAGUGCUGCAACAACAAUUGCUAGCAGAUCAAAUUUCAAAGCACCAGCAGCUCCACCACAACUGCGACCAAGUACAGCAGCAUCAAGAGUUAGGUAUAGGAAGUGUUUGAAAAACCACGCCGCCAGCAGCGGUGGCCACGUGCUCAAUGGAUGCGGUGAGUUCAUGCCGGGCGGAGAUGAGGACAAUUCGGGAUCCUUAAAAUGCGCAGCUUGCGAGUGUCAUAGAAAUUUUCACAUAAAAGAGAUCGAUCGCGAACAUGUAUCAAAUAAUUAAUAAACCAACAAUAGAACAGCCACAUAGACUUGGCGAUAAAAGGAUAAAAAUAUGUGUAUAUUUUUAUAAAAAUAAAAUAAAAAUGAUUUUUAAAUAUUUGUAUUUUAAUAAGUAUCGAAGAAAAUUAGUAGAAGAAAAUGUGUUUGGAAGGUGAGAAUGUGCCAAGAAUAUUCAAGAAGAGGAGAGAGAAGAAUGUAGUACCACUAAUUUUUAUAAACAGUGUAAUACUGUUAAGUUUCAUAAACAGUGUAGUAAGUUUCAUAAAAAGUGUCGUAAGUUUUCAUAAAUAGCGUAGUAAGUUUCAUAAAAAGUGUCUUAAGUUUCAUAAACAAUGUAGAAAGUUUCAUAAACAGUUUGUGUGAGGAUUUGCAUGGGUCCACGCGUCAGAUUUAAAAAAAAAUUUAAUAUUAAAAUUAUGUCAUUUUCAUUAAAAUUUAAGUUCUUUUGUCAUUUUAUUAAAAUUUAAGGGUUUUUCAUUAAAAUUUAAGUCUUUUUAAUUAAAUAAAGUUAUAGCAUGAUUUUUUUAUUAAAAUAAAUUUAGUCCAAGCCCUUUUCAUUAAAGUUCCCAUUAAUUAACCAUUAAAAUAUAUAUUAUACAUAUAUUCUUUUAAGCGGUUUUAUCAUAAAUGGUCCCUGAAACUUACCCUCAUCAUUAAGAUAGUCGUUGAAAUUAAAAAUCAAUCAAUGUAGUCCUAGAAAAUAGGUAUCGCAAAUCAAUGUGGUCAUUUCGUCACAAUUCUAUUAAAAUUUCCAUUAAGUGCUGAUAUGGCACAUAAGUGGGUCCCACAAGAAUUACGGUUUAUUUAUUUAUUUUAUUUUAUUUUAUCACAAAUGGUCCCUGAAAUUGACCCAUACCAUCAAGAUGAUCCUUGAAAUUGACCCACACCAUCAAGAUUGUCCCUGAAAUUGACCCACACCUGGUCCCUGAAAUUGAAAAUCAAUGCAUGUAGUCCUUGAAAAUAGGUGUAGCAAAUCAAAACCAUGAGGGCGUGGUUGGGGCCCAAAACGGACAAUAUCAUGCUACGGAGGAGUCGAGCUCGAGAUGUGGUGGGAACCCGGGCCGAGAUGUGACAUUUUGGUAUCAGAGCCACUUUGUCGUAUGGUGCGAGUGUGCCGACAAGGAUGUCGGGUCCCUAAAGGGGGUGGAUUGUAACAGCCCACAUUGCCAGGGGAGUGGAUCCUGUAAGCCUUAUAUGUAUAUUCUCAUCUCUACCUAAAAUGAGCCAUUUUGGGAGCUCACUGGCUUCGGGUUCCAACAGAACUCCGAAGUUUAGUGAGUUCACGCAAGAACAAUCCCAUGAUGGGUGACUCACUGGGAAGUUUUCGUGUGAUUUCUUAGAAACAAAACCAUGAGGGCGUGGUCAGGGCCUAAAGCGGACAAUAUUGUUCUACGACGGAGUCGAGCCUGGGAUGUGGUGGGGGUUCAGGCCGGGAUGUGAUAUAUUUAGUUUUAGAAAUAGUGUGCGUUAUUUUGCUAUAGUUCCAAAAAUAGUGUGGCUUAUUUUGCUUUAGUAUCAGAAAUAGUGUGGUUAUUUUGUUGUAAUUCCAGAAAUAGUGUGGAUUAUUUGUUGCAGUUUCAUAAAGAAUGUUAAUAAUUUUGUUGUGGUUUCAUAAAUUGUGUGGUAAUUUUUUAUGUAGUUUCAUAAAUAGUGUGGUAAUUUGUUGUAGUUUUAAAAAUAAUGUGAGAAACUUUGUUGUAGUUUCAUAAAUAGUGUGGUAAUUUUACUGUAGUUUCAUAAAUAAUGUGGUAAUUUUUGAUGUAGUUUCAUAAAUAGUGUGGUAAUUUGUUGUAGUUUUAAAAAUAAUGUGAGAAAUUUUGUUGUAGUUUCAUAAAUACUGUGGUAAUUUUACUGUAGUUUCAUAAAUAGUGUGGUAAUUUUGUUGUAGUUUCAGAAAUAGUGUGGGUAAAGUUUUAGAAAUAGUGUGAGUAAUUUUGUUGUAGUUUCAUACAUAGUGUGGUAACUUUGCUGUAGUUUUAUAAAUAAUGUGAGUAAUUUUGCUAUAGUUUCAUAAAUAAUGUGGUAAUUUUGAUGUAGUUUCAUAAAUAGUGUGGUAAUUUGUUGCAAUUUCAUAAAUAGUGUGGUAAUUUGUUAUAGUUUCAUAAAUAGUGUGGUAAUUUUGCUGUAGUUUUAGAAAUAUUGUAGGUAAAGUUUCGGAAAUAGCGUGAGUAAUUUUGUUGUUGUUUCAUAAAUAAUGUGAUUAUUUUGCUAUAGCUUCAUAAAUAGUGUGGUAAUUUGCUGAAGUUUCUCAAAAAGCCAAAUAACACUAAACCACACGUUAAUUUUUAACUUGAAAAAUAAAACUCAGAUAUCCAAAUUUAGUAACACCACAAAUUCUAAUAUCAGAAAACCCAAUUCAUGUUCGUCACUGGAAACAAAACUCAUAGUACAUAAGGCGUGGACUUUGAUCAUGACAUCAUCAGGGAUGUCCGUCGUCUUAGAGGAGAGGAUGGUCUCAACCAUCAUCAAUUACUAAAAUUAAUCACUUCCAAAAGCAAAUCCCAAAUCCCAAAUGCAAUCUUGCAAGUUCAACUAGACUACUCAUCAUGACGUUAAUCUGCCGUGAAGACUGCUGGAAUAGCUAUUUAUGAAACUUACCAAGAACUUGGCAUUAUUUAUAAAACUAGACCAAGAAAAAUACAUUAUUUAUGAAGCUGUACUAAUUAUUGCACACUGUUUAUGAAAAUGGAUUAAGAACUAGACUUUAAUUAUGAAACAUGACAAAAAACUAGGCACUAUAUACGAAAGUGGACCAAGAAUUAGGCAUUAUUUAUGAAAUUGGACUAAGAAUGAGACACUAUUUAUGAAACUGUGCCACCUACUAUAUACAAUUUAUGAAACAGUACCCAAUAACUAGACACUAUUUAUGAAAUUCAAUCAAGAACUAUACAUUAUUUAUGAAUAUGGACCAAUAAAUAGUGUUGUACUAUUCAGUUUCAUAAAUAUUAUAAAUAGUGUAGUAUCGAUCAGUUUCGUAAAUAGUGUUCGGUUUCAUAAAUAGUAUAAUACCAUUCAGUUUCAUAAAUAAUGGAGUACCGUUCAGUUUCAUAUAUAGUGUAGUAUCGUUAAGUUUCAUAAACAGUGUAAUUUUGUUCAAUUUCAUAAAUAGUGUUUAUUAUGGACGUUCGAAUCCCGCACACUGGGGUUUUUUUAAUAAUUUUAAAUCUAUAUUCGUUUCCCAUGCCUUUCAGUAAUACGCAACUCAUGCUAAUUAGAACUUUUUUUUUUUUUUUGAAAAACUGGAUAUAUUCAUAACCAGGGCCUAACACCAGAGGAAACAAACAGAAAGCAGUGAAGAGGGGAGCAAAGGCUAAAGACGUAGCACCAAGUGCCAAGUGUCACCAUUUUCACCGCCUAACUACAAUUACGGAGGACAUGGGAGGCCAUCCUUGUUGCCUUUCUCCUUUCACAAAGUUUGCCGAUGAUAAACUAACCCACCCAAAAGGAAAAAGCCAUUCAUAAAGCAAACACAACAACUCCAACUUCAAUAACAAAAACAAACAAAACAACUCCAACUUCCCGAUCGCCAUCGUCUCCACCUUCAUCAUUAUUCAAUUGCAGAAAUUCCAUAACAAAAACAGAACCGUAAAUUGAAAUCAGAAACGAAAUCGCAAUAAGCAAAUCUUUUAAACAAGAAACCAAUUGAACGAGAAAGAGAGCGUGUCAUAUUAACAUAGGAGAAACCGAGCUCCAGAGGCUCGAUUCUAAGACGCUUGCCCGUUUAUCGGAUUUGAUCGAUUCAGUUGAUUCGAAAAAUGGUGGAAUUCGAAUUGAAAAUGAAAAACAGGUUGGGUGGAGAGAGAGAGAGAGAGAGAGAGAGAGAGAGAGAGAGAGAGAGAGAGAGAGAGAUCAAUUCAAUUGCAACAACGGAGGAAGUGGAAUUGAAUUGCAAAUAAAAAAAAUUGGGAAAAUUUGAAAUAGGUCCAAUUUUAUAGGCCUACUUUUGACUUUUGACUUUUAAAAUAAGUCCAAUUUUUAAUUACUUUGGACCCAUAUCAAAAUACCCCAUAGAAAUAAUAGCAAAGAAUAGAAAGAGAGAUCGAGAAAGGGAAAGAGUUAUUGAACCAGAAAAGCUUGGCAUUAGGGGUAAAAUGGGAAACUCAAUGUUUGGGCCAUUUUUAUUGGACUGGUUUAGUGUUAGGCUUUGUCCUAAUCAUUAAAUAAAGUUAUUACAUGAUUUUUAUUAACUUUCAAAGUUUUCAAGUCAUUUUUAUUAGUUUUUAUUUUGUUUUUAUCUGAUAGCAUCAAAAUCUAGAAAAAAAAAAUUGGUAAAGGCCACUGUGAUAUUUUCUUAAAGUAUAAAAGGCAUUUUAGACUUUUGAAAUUGAAAAAGUUCCAUUCGAGGGAGCCAAGUGCUUCCUGUGUUUUCUCCCGGCAACACUUUUUAGGAGGAUGCACCUCCUAGGUGCUUCUUCAAAUCUAACUUAAAGUGUUUCUACUUUUAACUUAAAACACUUCUAAAAUUUUGCCAAACCAUCAUUUUUCACAUGUAAGCGCUUUUAACUAUUUGAAAGCACCUCUCAAACAAAGCCCCGUAAUUCAAGUGCUUGGUUUUGGGGUACUAUAAAAAGUGAGGUUGGGUGAAAUUAAAGUUCGCCAUAAUUGUUCCUAACAGUGUGAGUUUGCUUGUCAUUUUUUUAACAAACAAUAGGAUAAUUUACAUUAAAUUCAUCCAAAUUACGAAAUGGGGGAGAAGUGUUAAACUUGGAAUGUAGUGAGUUGAUUCUUUAAAACUAGGGCAAUCCACCACUUGGAAGUUUAUUAGUUGUAUUCUUUUUAGUUAGGGAGCAUCUCCACCCAUCCCCAAUUGCAAAGGUGAAAUUGCCUUCUUGCCCAAAAGAAGUUGCUCCACCGGUGAAAAAUGGGAAGUGCAAUUAUCGGAAAGCUAGGUGUUUUGGUAGCUGCCUUGCCAAUUAUUACAGGGGCUUGCGCUCGGUUGAUGAAGCAGCAGAGGGAGGUCCACCCCAUGUGAAGGAGACAGAACCAAAUGACUCAAACAUGAUGCAAUAAUAGCAGUUGGAUUUACCAAAGGUCUAUUGUUGGGUUCAAGUCGAGGUGGUUUUGUAGUUGUGACAAAUCCAGACUGAGCCUUUGUUCCUUUUUGGUGUCUCAAAAUUAUAAACAUAAAGUUGUCCAUCAUUGCUAGACAGAAAAAGGAGAGAGAGUGCUUCUAUCAUCACAUCUUUAACAAGUGGCCGUUGGAUUUUCAAUAGUAAAAAAAUAUAAAAAAAUUUGGUGUUGCGCCACGUGGUGCAUUGUGGUGCGUCAAAUUCUAAAAAUUUGAAUAGUUAUGAUUAAAAGAAUCUAAAAAAUCGGCAUUUAAAAAAAAUUAUUAAAAAACAUUAAAAAAAAAACUUACAAAGUUCAUACUUAAAAAAUCUUACAAAGUUCAAUAUACUUGCAAAUUAAACAUUAUUUUUGUUGCUAUAAACAACGAUAUUAUCUUCUAAAGAUGUGGGAGUGUAGGCUAAGCCUCACAAUGAGCUAAUCGAACAUAAGGCCUUUUAAUUACAAGUGAAGAGGAAUACAACUAGACUGUAUUACUAAGUGACAAUUAAACAUUUAAAAUUAAACAAAAAUCUACGGCGAUAAUGUCAUGUAGGAAUAAGACGAAGAAAAUAUUGUAAAUUAAAAUAUAUAUUUGUGAAUAGUAAUUGGUCUUGCCCUUGCCUUCCUUCUUCCAAACAUGUAGACUUGCACAAAGGGAAUUGAAGUGAAUAAUACGGACAAUUUGCUGCCCUUGCCUUCCAAUUGUCAUUGCCCUCCGCCAACAGAUGAAAAUGCUCUUAGGGCUAGUUUUGAGAUUUUAAUGCCUAGACUGGAGCGACAACAGAAAAGCCUCUUAACUAUUUAUGCCUAAUUACAGAUGCACACAAAAAAAUCUGAGUAUUUUCUUUUCACAUUUUGGGGAAUGGAAUGAAAUCUUGAUUAUUUUGUUUUGACUCUUAUAGCAAUCAAUGCAAUAAAACAAAUCUUGAUUAUUUUGAUGGAAAAUGCUAGAGAGACUAAAUUUAUAGACUAAAUUUUGUAAACUAACCGAGUCCAUAGAGUUGGCCAGACCCGAUUCUUCAAAAGUAGAUGGACAAUCAUACUCCAGACACUUUGAAGCUCCUGGUAAAUGGCUUUUCCUUGGCUUCCUUUAGUUGGGAAUAACAAAAUGACCACAAUAGCUGAAGUGCAAAGGAAGUUCCGCUGGACCCUGCGAUCGUCUAGAAGACGGAUUCCAACUCUGCAAAGGAGGUUCCGGUCUGGAAGACGGACUCCAACUCUGAAUCGAGGGUUUAGCAUAUUGUGCUUCUUAUCUAAGUUUUGUGCAUGAUUCGUAUUUGGAUAUGCAACUAGCACAAUUGGAGUUUAUUUUAGGGACGAGAAAACUUCAAUUCAAGAUAGCUUUAGGACCAAGAAAGCAUCGUAGUGUUAUUAAACGCCCCAUCCAGUUACUAUUUAAAUGAGGCCGAAAAAGUAAACUUCAAUACCGGUUAAUUUUAAAGAAAACUAAUGAAAAAUGUUUGAAAACUUUGAGUUUUAACGAAAAAGAUAAAAGAAAGGGUAAAAUGAAUAGUACCAUGAUUAACUUUUUAGUGUAAAAGUGUAGUUUUUCGUUAAAGUGAACAAUACCGGGACUUUUCGUUAAAGUUUCUUUAAUUUUAAUCAAUUCCCAAUCCGGAAAGGAAAAGGAUUCCUAGACAAAUAAGGAAAUCUGGUCCGCCACGUCCUAUUCGAUUUGGGUUUUCCUAAUUUAACCCUAAUUCAACUCACAAUGAAUGCCUGACCCAAACAAAAUAAAUAAAUAAAUAAACCCACUCAGAAACUCUAUAUAUUCCUUCACACCUCAAAUUGUCAAGUUCUCUAACGUGCCUCGACAACAUGAAGCUCAUCGAGAACUUGAGGCUUAGGCUAUUCAACGGGGCUUUCGACUCCUCAAAAUGCGACAAAAAAGCAGUCUUGGCGGUGGAUGGGAUACGCAAGUUAAGGAAGAGGAAAGAUGAGGGCAUUGUGAAGAUGAGGAACAAAAUUUCUGCUCUCUUGCAGUGUGGUCAAGACCCAAUUAAUAAAACUUGCACUGCUUGUAUUUUGAUCGAAGAUCUGAUAAGAGAAGAAAACAUUUUGGAGACGUACGUGUUGAUCAAGGGUUUUUGUAACUUAGUUAGGGGUAGGCUCUCAGUUAUUCAAGUGCAGAGGGAAUGCCCCAAAAAUUUAAAUCAAGCGAUUAGUAGUUUAAUUUUUGCAGCUAAAAAACGCUUCCACGAGAUUCCAGAAUUAUUGACACUUGAGAAAAUUUUUAAGAAGUAUGGAAGUGAUUUUGUGCUUGCGGCUACUCAAACCAACUGUGUUACUCCCGUGAUGGUUGAGAAGCUCUCAAAUAGAAACUCUACAGACGAAGAAAUAGAGAAGAUUAUUCAGCAAAUAGCCAAGCCAUGCAAUAUAAAUGGAGAACAACAAGCGUGGAACUGUCAUCCCACAUCACCAUACUUAUAUGAUGGAGUUGCGUACAAUGCUUUUCUCAAUUAUAAGUGAAGAAACUGUAGUAUCCAAUUUGGAGUAGUUUACUCCUUGAAAAAUAAAUUGGCUAUUUACUAUAUUGAGUAAACUGUCGGUUUACCCCCUGAACUUUCACCUCACUUUCGAUUUCCCCCCUGAACCUUUCCAUUGGAAAAUUAAGGACUCAAACUAAUUUUUUUAGCCAAUUUGUCCCCUACCGUUAGUUUUUCAUAUAUUCCAUCCAUAUUUCCGUUAAGUGAGACCAUGUGCACAACAUGUGAGGGUAGUUAAGUUAUUUCUCUCUUAAAAAUGAUUAAAAAACUGAAAAUAAUAAAAAAAGCAAAACUUUCCCUCUAUUUUUUCCCGCUAAUUCCUAUCCUCGAUUUUAUUUUUCCCUCUCAUUCCUAUGCAUGAGAAAUGACAUAUGGUGUUAUUGUCUACCAUUUUUAUUUUCUCUAACAAAUUAAUAAUUUGACAAAUGCUAAUGGUGCUAUUGUCUCCAAAGCAGUGCAUUAAUAUAAGAAACCCUAGUCUUUUUUAUGGACAUGUUUCUUAUAUUAAUGCACUGCUUUGGAGACAAUAACACCAUGAGCAUUUGUCAAAUUAUUAAUUUGUUAGAGAAAAUAAAAAUGGUAGUACAUGCUUCAAAAAAAAGAUUAACUUAGCUACUUAUGAAGACAAUAACACCAUAUGUUAUUUCUCAUGCAUAGGAAUGAGAGGGAAAAUUAAAAUUGAGGAUAGGAAUUAGCGGGAAAAAAUAGAGGGAAAAUUAUUAUUAUUAUUUAUUUUCAGUUUUUAAUCAUUUUUAAAUUGAAAUGACUUAACUAUCCUCACAUGUUAUGCACAUGGUCUCACUUAACGGAAAUAUGGAUGGAAUAUAUGAAAAACUAACGGUAGGGGGAAAAUUGGCUAAAAAAAUGAGUUUGAGUCCUUAAUUUUCCAAUAGAAAAGUUCAGGGGGGAAAUCGAAAGUGAGGUGAAAGUUCAGGGGGUAAACCGACAGUUUACCCUUACUAUAUUAUAGCUAGGAAUCAUGUAUGACAGGAGUGCUUAUUACUUUUUUUAUUUUUUUUAUUUUUAAGUUUUAGUUUAGAGUAAUGUUAUUUUUACCAUCUAAAUAUAUCACAAUUUCAUACCAACUUAUACAGAAAUUGAAGUGGACUAACACAUGAAUUUAAAAACGAUCUUGUACCAGCAGAGGUGAAUAAUCACAGUAAUUAAAAGAAUGAUCUUUCUUCUUUUUUUUUUUUUUUUUUAAAAAAAGGGGAACAAUUGGUGGCACACCACGGUUAUCUACCCCUUUUGGGUGACGGGAAGACUCACAAAGACAUUUCAGCAUUUUUUUAUUUUUUUAUUUUAAGAAAUUGAUGAAACCCUAAUGUUCACGUUUUCUAGGCUCACAGUUGCCUACUCCUUCCUCUCAUCUCUCCAUCGUCAUUUUGCUUUUCCAAUGAUUGAUGGUAUCCCUCCACCUUUGCCGAUGACUGAUCAAUCCACAAUCACAAGUCAGAGGCUCAAGUUAAGAAGACAUUUCAUCCCAAAGAUUUUUGAGUUUGGUGUAGUAUGCGAAGAUUGACUACUGUCCCUGGCGGUAUUAGCCAAUUUCUUGUUGAAUCUGAUAAAUCCUGCCUUGUAAGAAUCGAUCCUCAAGAUCCUUCUGUUCGCCCUCUAAAUUCGCCAUGGGCCUCGUGGGCAUUUCAGAAAUUUACUCAAACAAUAAACUAGUGGGUGCGAGUGUGCCACUACUAAAUGCCACUAGUGGACAGGAUUUGAAUGAUUGAGAUUGCGCCUGAGUACGGCUUCUAACUAAGAGAUUGUGUCAUUGAGUGGGAGUGGCUCAAAGAAGGUUCUUUCUUUGCCUUACAGAUAAGGACUUCACUUAUGUGGAGAAAUGUCACAAUAUGUAAAUGGCAGGUUUGCUGGAAAUGUAAAUGACAGAGGAAAGUAAAUGACUGGUAUUGUAGAUUGCUUGUAAAUUAAAUGACUGGAAAUGAGUUGUAAAUAAAUGUAAUUAUUUAAAGUACAAAACAUUAUAAGUACAAAGGGAUGCCAAAUACAAGGUUUGAACUUGUUCCCAAGGGAUUGCGCAAGUUGCUCUAGUCUUGUGGCAAUUUCUAGUGGUUUGGGGAAUGGCUUUGAAGGUUGUAAAUAAAAAUACAAAGGAGAUCGAUACUACCGACUGAGCAGUAAAGCAAAAAACAAGGAAAGUAAAGGGUACUUGGCUAAAAGUAAAUGUUUACAAGGAAAUUAAGAAGCUGAUUUGAGUAGAGUUAAUUGAUUGGUUGAGUGUCCAUAAUCAUUUUGCCUCUGCUUCUUUUCAUAGAGAACUAAGAGAGACCCACUUGCUGAGAACAUUGAACCUAUGGAGAGAACUCCACUACCAGCUUGCAUAUGAAAAAAAUUUAAAAGAGGCCAACUCACAUUUCCACCACAUGUCUAUUAAUCAUACUUGCAAUAGAUUAAUAUUUAAAAGAAGCAAGUUGGCUUCUUUCGUCCACAUGUCCAUCUCCCAAGUUUGCCAACAUCCUUACUCAAAAUAAAGUCAUCACUUCAAACCAUGUGGAGAAACAUUCCCACAUGCAACUUUUGGUAUAUUUGCACACUAGUCCCCCCAAAAUGUCAUAUUUUGGCUUUUAAACCCAAUUAAGUAAAAUUGUGCAUUUUAGGUGCAAACACCUUCCACACGGCAGUCGCGGUUUGCAGUAGAGUUUACUGCCAACAAUGGUACUGUGCAUUGAUUGCAUGGUCCACAAGAGUACCUUGUCAUUGCAUCUCUGCCAAAUGAGAAAUUUUGCAUCGGACAUGGAUCCUCUCCGGAUCCAUUGAUCCUAAUCCACCAAGUCACAUCAUCUGAGCCAUUGAAAUUUGAUCCAACAGCUAAAGUUAUUAUAAAUUUUAGAGUAGGUCCCUGUUUGUAGCCGUUGGAUUAAAUUUCAAUAACCUGAAUGAUUUAACUUGGUAGAUUAGGACCAAUGGAUCCAGAGAGGAUCCAUGUCCUUUUGCAUCGGUGGUUGCAGGAGCUUUAAUUAAUACCAUCAAUAGACUCGAGCUUAUUCUUUGCACUUUGAGGAAUGUGCAUAGAAUGGCACCAUUGUCAGUAGUUGUGUCAUUCGAGAAGUUUUGAACUAGAACAAGAUUCGAUGAAUCCGAGUGAUGUAAGGUGAGAGGAUCAGAUGUGUUUAGCACCGCCUCUGUUAGCUGUGUUUGAAGUAUAGGUUGGUUGUGUUUGUAGCGGAAGAUGAUUGGGUGUCUAGAGUCACCAGGAUCGUGUUGAUCUGAUGCCAUAUAAAUUGAUGUGUGAAUAUGUUCGUACUAGAUAAUUGUAACUGUACAGAGACAAUCCUUUCCUACAAUCACCCCAAGACGGAUCAUGACUAUUUGAUCCUACAAUCACUCCAUAUCAUAUCAUAAUCAGAUCGUUCACUAGUUUGCUUCCUUUAACAGACGCAACUAUUGUAUCUUCAUGCACAACCAUUAUAGUUAACCUCUUUCACAUCUAUAUAAAAGGCGAGUCUCAUUUAAGCAUUCAACUUACUUAUCAAUUUCAUUUAUAGCAUUAACAAGUCUUUAGUAUAUUUAGACUAAAGAUUAAGCGAGUCUAUAAGGGAGUGAAACAUUGUGUUUCAGUAAGGCCUUAUGAUUUGACUGCUACUUAUACCAGAAAAGAAUGUUUAGGGAGAGAGAGAGAGAGAUGUUGAAGAAAUGAAGAAACACUAACUUGUAUGACAUCAGUUGAGAAUUACAACGCACCUCACUUUUUCUAUAUCAACUACAUAGCACAUUAAACUUGAUAGCUAACUAACUCUAGCUAUAAGAAACUAAUUUUUCCUCUAACAACCUAAUAUUCAUCUUAACUUAUCAUCCCACAGGAUUAUGACAUAUGGCACCUCAUAGAAUGAUGACACUUGUCGCUUAAUACCCCUCAAUCUCAACAAAGAAUUUCAGCCUGAGAUUGAGACAACGUUGCAAAAAUAAAGGAAAGUGAAAUUAAACAAUCAAAUCUUCUUUUUGCACUUCCUUUCUCAAACAAAAUGGUAAUUUGUGUCCAAAUGUUUGAUUCUUAUCUAAAACAAUGGAUUAAUAUGAGCGGAGAACAAAUAUCAUAGUCUAGAUUUGGUGGUGAAGACAAAUAUACCUAAAAAUCUUUCAAACUUAAUCGUAUCGUAUCCAAGCAACAUAUGCAAUUGUAUUUCCAAGUGCCUUAUACUCUGCCUCCAUUGAAUUUCGAGACACAUCAUUUCUUCUUGAAUUUCCAUGAAAUGGGUAUUGCCAUUAUAUUCCGUUCCCAUUACUAAUACUCAUCAUGUGUUUUGUACAAUAGUCCUUCAUGAAUGCCUUCCUAAGUGCCAAUUUUAUACAUAAGUAAAAUCAAAAUUGUGAAAUUUUAAAAUUUGAUAAUAGUUUGUUUCUAAAUUAUAAAUAGGCUUGUUCCAUUAAAAAGGAUUGUCCAAUGCUCUAGCUAUAAUAACAUUUGACAUCGAGUUUAUUAUUUAUAAGAGUUGAACUUGAGAUGUUUGACUAAAAAAUGAAGGGAAUUACACAUCGUAAUGCAAGUAAAAAGAAAAAAGAAUUGGAAUUUUCAAUGUACAAAUCCUAUCCCACAUCAUCCAAUGCCAAAAUUUGAGUCUCGCCUAAAUAUAAAAAAAAAAAUCUUGUUAAUCAAUUAACCAAGGGAUUUAAACCAUGUGCAUGUAUGUGAUCUUAUAAUUUUCAACAAAUAUAUUGUCUUUACUUUUAAGUUUUUUUUUUUGUAGAAUGAUACUAUAUUUACAACUAAAAGAUGGAAGGAAUAAAUUGAUAUUGAACUUGCUAUUUAUGAAAUUCAAAUCAAAGCAAGUGAAGAGUAACUGGACUAUACUACCAAGUAACAAUUUAGGUCCUUUAACUAUAAAAUCUUUGUUGACAGCAGAAGUUAUAAAACUUAAAAGAUCAUUUCUAAUGUGAUGCUAAUUUUUGUUUUUAUAACUAUUUGUAACUCAUUUCUUUCCAAAGUAUAUAUGAACAACCAAAAGCACGGAGAAAGAUGAAGCUCUACUAUAAAAUCAAUCGGCAAUUCGGAGAGUAGUCUAACUCAUUAUAAGCCCGUGCAAUGUUACUUUUUCCGUUGUGGGAAUUUGUAUAUCGCAUUCUCACACUCCUUCUUAUGUGUGACAAAUUUUUAAGUCUAAGACGUGGUCAACACAAACUAAGUGACAUAGAGCACGUGUAGCCGUUGUGUUUAACACAUGGUGUCAACAUGUUAGAAUAUCAUGAAGUUGAGGUUCUACCCAAUGUUUAAAAUAUCCACAAAAUUGUCAAUAGUUUGUUGAAAAAUUCCUAAAAAUCAAGGAUCGAUACGGAGAUUGGUGAAAUGCAAACUCCACACUAUAUCAAUGAGAUAUAAAUCAAUGAAUAUCGAUGAAUUUUACCAAUUCACUACAUAAAUUUUGAAAAUUUUCUCUAAUUUGACUAAAUCAGAAUGAGUUAAUAUACCCACCCUAUUGCAAAUUUCCAUAAUUUUCAUCGAAGGCAAUCCAUUGAUCAUAAAUUUGCAUAUUAAUAUUUUCAACUAUAUCGAUAUUUUAAAUACUGGUUCUACUAUAUAACCAAUUGACAAUAUGAGGAGUGACCUAACUCCUUAUAAGCCUUUUUUCAAGUUUGGUUUUUCUCUGAUGUGGGACUUUGCCUUUCAUAUUCUCAUAAAGUGGACUUUACAGUGUAGGAAAGCAAAUAUUUUUAUGUGUCACAUGUAGGGACGUCUUUGAGAUUUCCAGGGGGGGUCUAUGCAAACUUUAUAAAAGGGUUAUUCCUUAAGAUAGUUUAUCAAGAAAAGUAGACAAUGUAAUGAUACUAUAAAACAUACUUGAAUCAAAAUAAACUUUAGGAUUCGCUGAUUGUAGGUUUCCAAAUGUCAUUAAGUAAUAUAAGUAAAGAGAGCUAUAAACAUAUAUUGAUUAAAUAAUGAAAAACAGUUCAAUCUUAGACAAUCAAACAAGAAAAAAAAACUUCAAACGCUCUAACUUUAAAGUUUCACUUGAAUAUAUAGGAUUAUUAUUUAAUAAAAUUGGAAAAAAAAUUAUUUUUUAGGAUGUUUUUUUUGUUUUUUUUUUUUUUUUUUGAACAAAUUUGAGGUUGUUGUUAUUAGCAUUCAAAAUAUCUCAUUGUGCACUCCAAAUUAUUGUAUUUAGAAAGAAAAAAGUUUACACUUUGUUGAGCAAAAAUUGUACACAAUAUGUAAACAAAUAAUUCACUCAACACAAUUUCACCCUCAUUCAUUUUUUGAAGAGGGUUUUAUUAAUUCGAGUUUGAUCCAUUCUAGGCUACACGCCUAUUAAUUACAACCCUUCCUUUGGGAAAGGAAUAACCUUUGAUUCUAAUAUGAAUAAAUCGUAACUUAGGGAUUUGGGUGUUUAUUUGAUUUUGUGACUGCGUCUAGGUAGAGCCCCAGAUUGCCUACGUACCCUUGUUGAAGGAUCAAGUCACUUGUAGUUCCUUAUGUGUUUUGUCGGGGUUUGAUGCCUUGUGCAGUUUCAACUCGUGCAGGCAAGAAGCAACUAAUGCCUUGUGUUGUUUUAGCUUAUGUAGACGAGGACUUUAAGCCAUUAGAGUGGUUGAUCCCUUAUGCAGUUUUAGCUCUUGCGGGCGAGAACUUUGAGCCAUUGGAGUAUUAAUGCCUUGUACAGUUUUAGCUCAUGCGGGCGAGGACUUUAGGCCAUUGGAGCAACUGAUGUUCUUUAUGGCUUCGUGCCAUUUGAGACUUUUCUUCGGCUUCGUGCCAUUUGGGAUUUGAUAUGGCUUUAUGCCCUUUGAAACUUGACGUGACUUCGUGCCACUUGAGAUUUUGUUGGGGAUUCGUGCCAUUUGAUAUUUGACUUUUUCUUUGGCUUCGUGCCAUUUGAUAUUCUUUACGGCUUCAUGCCAUUUUGUAGCGGCUUUGUGCUAUUUGUAGUAGCUCCGUGCCAUUUGUAAUUUUGAAUUGGCUUUAUGUCAUUUGAAGUUUGAUGUGGCUUCAUGCCUUUUGAGCGGCUCUAUUUUUAUUCACAGAGUCCAAAAGAUAUAAAGCUCACGUGAAUACAAAAUUGUUGUUUUACUUCAACCUCAUAUGGAGCAACAUUCCCUAAAAAACCUAGGAACUUUGUUGCAAGAGCAGCAUCCAUUAAUUGGAAAUCUAGGAACUUGUGCUUGAAGACUUCUCUUUUACCUUUUGUAGAAUUUUUAAUUACUUGAUCAAAGUAGCAGAAGUGAAUUUAGUUCAUAUAAACCAAGGAUUUGUUUCAGUUUCACGGUUGCGUCUAACACUUGAUAUCAGACUGCUUACGUUUCCUUAAUGGAAUCAAACCGACGUAGUUCGUAAUUCAAAGUUGUCUCCAAUGUUUCUUUUUGUUUUAACCGCUUGAACUUGGUGCCUCCGAGAUGACUAGUGAACUCUUAUUUGGCACAUAUGUUUGCCAAAGUGAUAAUGCCCACAUGAAUAAUAUCAGAAAGCUACUCUUUUUCUUCUCUUCGAGUUCCACAUGGAUAGUAUUCUCAUCUAAUUUGCAGCAAGUGAAAAAAAAUGGCUAGUCAUAAUCAUGACUAAUGUUUGAAAGCCACAUCAGAUUCACUUUUUUUAAAAGAACUUGAUGGUGCUUUUGACUUCUUUUCUCCUAUUCUUUGUUUGGUGUCAGGAGGUAGGUUGCCCAUUUUUCCUUUGCCUUUCUGGGACCUUUGUCAAUUGGGGUGUGAUAUUCACACACUUCUUUUUACUUCUCACACACCCUUCAAAGUUCGGUCGUUGGAUCGGUUGAAUUAAAGAAGAUCAAAUGGUAGAAAUUAACAAGGGGUGUGUGAGAAGUAAAAAGGGGUGUGUGGAUAGCACACCCCUUGUCAGUUUAUCUCCAUACUUAAAUUCUAAAAUAAAGCCCAUAAUUUAGAUGGGGGCAGUGGCUUUCUUUUGCUUUCAACGUGAGUCAAUUCCCAUUUAAUUUGAGGGAAUUGUAUGUAGCAAGCUUCUUAUUUCUUUCCCUUGUACACUUGAAUUUUUCAAGUCCAGAUAGGAUGUCACAUGGCGUCAAAAUCCUAGCACAAAAAGGCUUUUCCGUAUAUAAUUAGCAUACAACUUGAAUAAAUUGUUGAUGGAAAUUAAAUAAACAAAUUAAUGAUCAUUAAUAAAAUGAUACUUAUUUAUGUGAAAAUAUAUAUAAUUGACCAUUUGUUUCUUAAAAACAAAAAGAUACAUUAUAGUUGCGUGACAAUCAAAUGAGAAAUAAGUAUUAACUAGACAUAAGAGCAUUUUCAAUAGAAUCCUUAAAUAGGAAGAACCACUGUAUAAAAUAAGUAUAAAAUAAAUAUAGUGACAAAUUGAAUCUUCAAUUGAUCGGAAAAUAAAUCUUUAAAAUAUAGAGACUUACCAAUAUUUAGUGUAUGCACCUACCUAUAGAAUUUGCAUUUGGACUCAAAUGAUGGAGCCUAAUGACAACUUGGGUGGAAAAAUCGGCCCACCAAUUUGAAUGCUGCUGCUCAGCAAUUAGCCUACUUGCCAAGGACGCGCGGGUUGUUUUGACUCGCAAGACAACCGCAUAAAUCUGAAUGCUGUUGUGCAGCAAGAAUGCUACUAGACAGCGCAUAAUGCGUUCUCUUCUUUUUUUUUUUUUCAAAUGAACGGUCAGAGUUUAUUAUGGCUUUCAAAUUUUUUCUACGGUUGAGGAUCAGCGGUUCAGGAACAAUACAAUAUGGCCGGUGCUUCUACUCUCAUUUUGGCUUUGAAAUGAACGGCCAAGAUUCAUUCUUGUUAUGGUUUUGUGAAGAAAAAAAUUGGUAUCAAAAUAUGAAAUUUUGGUCGAAAUGGUCACAAAAUAUUUUACGACAACAUAAUGUGAAAUUAAUUAGAAAAAAAAAAUUAACACAUACAAACUGUCACAUCCUGGCUCAGGCCAUUCUUAUCGUACAUACUACUUCAGGUAGUUCCGAUUUAUGUGCAGAGUAUUGCCGUACAGGUCACCGUGGUGACUCCGGUUGGUUGGAUAUUGAGCUUUAGAAUUAACCGUACAGGACCAACUGCAGGGUCUCCGGUUGAUUCCUUAUUUCACCUGUUAUAUUGAUGCAUCCUUAUUCCGUUAUUGACAUUUAUAGCAUGGCAUACUUUCUGGUUUUUUAUAAAGAUUGAUGAUUUGUGAUAUUUGAAGGUUUAUAUGCAUAUUAUGUUAUUUUCUGGGAAAGUAUACAGGUUUUACAGUGAGGGGUUAGAAAUGUUAUUAAAUGAAAUGUUUUCGAAAAACUUUGUUUUACUGAUCCACUCAACUUUGUUUUGCGCUCCUCCAAGUUCUAGUUAGCAGUAUUGGUGGCUCACGAGGAUUCCCACGGUGUUCUGACAUAAUUCACAAAAGUAGGACUCGCCCUCGGGUGUUACAUCUUAGUAAUUGUAUCUUUAAAGCUUCCAAACUGUGUAAAUGGUUACGUUACUCUUACGUGACGGCCAGCAUGCCCUCCUUCGGGACAGGGUGUGCCACAAACACCUAAUCAAAGUAUCGCAUAAAAUCGUAAAAACCUCAAAAUUUAGGGAUUCUACUGUAAGGACUCACCAAUUGGAGGUAAUAUUCCUAUAGGGACACGAAAAUUCUCUAUAAGUCUCUAAAUGAGUUUUUCUAUGUAGUGGUUGGAGUCCCUAAAUAGGGGCACCCAUUGGAGAUGCUCUAAAAAGAUUAGCAAUUCUUACUUGUUGAACAUCUAUCUCUCGCCUAUGAAUAGAACUUUCAUCAACAAUCUAUUCAUGUCCAGGCAAAAGUAGCUCAUCAUCAUCAUAAGGUUGGAAAUCUUGAUCGUCA